AUUGAACGCUGGCGGCGUGCCUAACACAUGCAAGUCGAGCGGUAACAGGUGUAGCAAUACAUGCUGACGAGCGGCGAACGGGUGAGUAAUGCUUUGGAAUCUUCCCAGUAGUGGGGAAUAACCAGUCGAAAGAUUGGCUAAUACCGCAUACGUCUGUAAAGGGAAAGCGGGGGACUCGCCUCUUCUUCGGAAGAGAGGCCUCGCGCUAUUGGAUGAGCCAAAGUCGGAUUAGCUAGUUGGUGGGGUAAUGGCCCACCAAGGCGACAAUCCGUAGCUGGUCUGAGAGGACGACCAGCCACACCGGAACUGAGACACGGUCCGGACUCCUACGGGAGGCAGCAGUGGGGAAUAUUGGACAAUGGGGGAAACCCUGAUCCAGCGACGCCGCGUGUGUGAAGAAGGCCUGCGGGUUGUAAAGCACUUUUAGUGGGGACAAAAAGCUACGGAUUAAUACUUCGUGGUCUUGA
rnacentral:rRNA from 1 species